CCCUUGGGGGGAUUGAAGACCCCGGCCCCGAAUUUUCUUUGGGGGGGGCCGGCCAAGGGGGGAAUUCUUUGGAACGAUUGGGGGCAAAGCCUUGAUUCCAACCCAUGCCCGCGUUGUUGAAAGAAAGCCCCUCCGGGUUGUAAAAGCACUUUUCAGGGGGGGAAAAAAAGCCCUGGUUGGUUUAAUACCCCGUCCCGGAAGGGGCCUUCCCCCCCCAGGAAGAAGGCCCGGGCUAAACUCCGUUCCCAGCAGCCGCGAUAAUACGGAGGGUGCGAGCGUUAAUCGGAAAUUACUGGGCGUAAAGCGCGCGUAGGUGGCUUGAUAAGCCAGUUGUGAAAGCCCCGGGCUCAACCUGGGAACGGCAUCCGGAACUGUCAGGCUAGAGUGCAGGAGAGGAGGGUAGAAUUCCCGGUGUAGCGGUGAAAUGCGUAGAGAUCGGGAGGAAUACCAGUGGCGAAGGCGGCCUUCUGGACUGACACUGACACUGAGGUGCGAAAGCGUGGGUAGCAAACAGGAUUAGAUACCCUGGUAGUCCACGCUGUAAACGAUGUCGACUAGCCGUGGGGUCCUUCGCGGACUAUGUGGCGCAGUUAACGCGAUAAGUCGACCGCCUGGGGAGUACGGCCGCAAGGUUAAAACUCAAAUGAAUUGACGGGGGCCCGCACAAGCGGUGGAGCAUGUGGUUUAAUUCGAUGCAACGCGAAGAACCUUACCUACCCUUGACAUCCUGCGAACCCUUCGGAGACGAAGGGGUGCCUUCGGGAACGCAGAGACAGGUGCUGCAUGGCUGUCGUCAGCUCGUGUUGUGAAAUGUUGGGUUAAGUCCCGUAACGAGCGCAACCCUUGUCCCUAUUUGCCAGCGAUUCGGUCGGGAACUCUAGGGAGACUGCCGGUGACAAACCGGAGGAAGGUGGGGACGACGUCAAGUCAUCAUGGCCCUUACGGGUAGGGCUACACACGUGCUACAAUGGUCAGUACAAAGGGUUGCGAACUUGCGAGAGUGAGCCAAUCCCAGAAAGCUGAUCUCAGUCCGGAUCGGAGUCUGCAACUCGACUCCGUGAAGUCGGAAUCGCUAGUAAUCGUGAAUCAGAAUGUCACGGUGAAUAUGUUUCCGGGCCUCGUACACACUGCCAAUAACACCGUGGACUGAGAGUGUUCUUGAACUCGCUAUAACUCGUCA
rnacentral:rRNA from 2 species